rnacentral:rRNA from 1 species
AUUGAACGCUGGCGGCAGGCCUAACACAUGCAAGUCGAACGGUAACAGGAAGCAGCUUGCUGCUUUGCUGACGAGUGGCGGACGGGUGAGUAAUGUCUGGGAAACUGCCUGAUGGAGGGGGAUAACUACUGGAAACGGUAGCUAAUACCGCAUAACGUCGCAAGACCAAAGAGGGGGACCUUAGGGCCUCUUGCCAUCGGAUGUUCCCAGAUGGGAUUAGCUAGUAGGUGGGGUAACGGCUCACCUAGGCGACGAUCCCUAGCUGGUCUGAGAGGAUGACCAGCCACACUGGAACUGAGACACGGUCCAGACUCCUACGGGAGGCAGCAGUGGGGAAUAUUGCACAAUGGGCGCAAGCCUGAUGCAGCCAUGCCGCGUGUAUGAAGAAGGCCUUCGGGUUGUAAAGUACUUUCAGCGGGGAGGAAGGGAGUAAAGUUAAUACCUUCGCUCAUUGACGUUACCCGCAGAAGAAGCACCGGCUAACUCCGUG